AGAUAGGAUGAGGGGAGAGAGGAUGCAGGUCAUUAACCCAGACGAGGCCGUGUUGGUGGUAGGAGAGGAGGCCGUGCCGGUGGGAGAGGAGGUCGAGAUGGUGGACGAUUAGUUGAUGAGCCGGUUGAUGAUGUUGAUCAUGCUGAUGAGCAUGAGGACACUGCGGUUUAGGAGGGGAACUCAUGUAGAUACAAGCGAGGAUUGUGUAGUACUGCUAUUGCCGAGCAAUCUACUGCCACUAUAGCCGAGCCAUCUAUUGCUGCUGCUGCCGGGUCUUCUAUUGCUGCUAGCGACGAGGCUGAGUUCAUUAGACGUGAGGAUUGGCCUUCCUGCUCUCUAGGCCUCACUCCUACUCCAUAGCCAGUUGCUGAGCAACAGACUUUUCAUAUUCCGGAUACCAAUAUACAACAGCCUCCUCCUAUUAUACAGCAUCAUCACCGGACUCGACUUCAGCAUGAUAUAUCAGAGAUCUCCUCUUUUGACUUGGGCUUCUCUUUACAGUCUUCUCAACCUGAUACACAGACUAGUUCAGAUAGAGCUGAUAUGUCUGGUAGAUAUGAAAUAUAUGUGCGCCGGUUAAAAAGGCAGCGACAGGCUCCCGAUUGUGGUAUUGGUGGACAUAAAUGAGGGGUAUCAGCUAUUGGAGCUAUAGAGCUGGAGUUUUAUUAGUUUUUAUUGUAUAUUGUAGGCUUUUCAUAACAUCUGUAGGGAUAGGACCCUGAACUUGUAAAUUCUCAUUGCGCGGAUCUUGUAAUUAUUUUAAUUUCGUGUCUAUAUUUAUGUUUUA